rnacentral:sRNA from 1 species
UAUAAAACUGAGAAUUUUAAGGGCUUGAUUGGUUUAUCCGCUAACAACUGUCUAGUAGUUGUUAGCGGUCGGUUGUGGUUGUUAGCGGUCAGUUGUGGUUGUUAACGGUUGGUACUAAUCAUAGAAACUGUUCCAUAUCGUUUCGAACCGUUCGAAAUCGCUGGAUUUCAAAAGCUCUUUCCCGCAAGCGUUUGCGGUUGUGGGCGGUUACGGUUAAUUUAAAAAAGGAAAGAAACUAAAAAAG